rnacentral:rRNA from 1 species
AGCGAACGCUGGCGGCGUGCCUAACACAUGCAAGUCGAACGUGAAAGGGAGCAAUCCCAAGUAAAGUGGCGUACGGGUGAGUAACACGUAGGUAAUCUACCCCAGAAUCUGGAAUAACCGGCCGAAAGGCUGGCUAAUACUGGAUAGAGCGACGGAAUCCGUAAUUGGGUUUUUCGGGAAAGGGAGCCUGUAAAAAGGCCUUCGUUCUGGGAUGAGCCUGCGUCCCAUCAGCUAGUUGGUGAGGUAAAAGCUUACCAAGGCAAUGACGGGUAGCUGGUCUGGGAGGACGAUCAGCCACACUGGAACUGAAACACGGUCCAGACUCCUACGGGAGGCAGCAGUGGGGAAUAUUGCGCAAGGGACGAAAGUCUGACGCAGCAACGCCGCGUGAGUGAAGAAGGCCUUCGGGUUGUAAAGCUCUGUCGAGUGGGACGAAAAUGCUUGGAGUUCACAGCUCCAGGAACUGACGGUACCACUAAAGGAAGCACCGGCUAACUCCGUG